UACGGAAGGGGCAAGCGUUGUUCGGAAUCAUUGGGCGUAAAGGGCGCGUAGGUGGUUCUGUAUGUCUACCGUGAAAGCGUAUGGCUCAACCGUAUUUUGUCGGUGGAAACUGCAGGACUUUGAGGCUGGGAGGGGCUGGUGGAAUUCCCUGUGUAGCGGUGAAAUGCGUAGAUAUUGGGAAGAACACCGAUGGCGAAGGCAGCCAUCUGGGACCGACACUGACGCUGAGGCG
rnacentral:rRNA from 1 species